rnacentral:lncRNA from 1 species
GCCACAGUGUUGAGAUUCCUCGUCUACACUCCCUCUGAUUUCUCUUUAAGAAAGAGAGCAGGUAUCUGUAACACUUGCUGGGGCAGGAAGACCAUGGAGCCUUGAGGAGAAGAAAACCAAGGCAACCAAAGCAAAAAAAGUUGGCUCUGUUUUCAGAGAAGCCUGAGAAUAAAAGUGUGACUGUAAAGCAAACAAACAAACCAAAGCUGGAAGCCGCAGUCCCACACUCGGCUGGAAUGGAGGUUGACAUUCAGAAUUAAUCAUCAAGGAUGCGUCUUGCUAAUAAGGAUACAUAUUUACUGUAACUCUGCCUGGGACUGUUCUUUGAGAGAGAUCAUGGAGACUAUGAUCAACACCCCAAGAUGGAGUCUACAUUCUUAGAAACAAAGAAAGAUGAGGCUUGCAAGAUGCCAUGAGACAUGUUACAGGUACCCAGUUGGAAGAGACACAAUUUCUAAUGUCUACUUCAUGGGGAAAAAGGAAGAUUAAAGAAACCCCAUGUUAUUGGGGAAGAAAAGGCUUCCAA